rnacentral:misc_RNA from 1 species
CCGAGUUUACAACUCCCAAACCCAAUGUGAACGCUACCAAACUGUUGCCUCGGCGGGAUCUCUGCCCCGGGUGCGUCGCAGCCCCGGACCAAGGCGCCCGCCGGAGGACCAACCAAAACUCUUAUUGUAUACCCCCUCGCGGGCUUUUUUUAUAAUCUGAGCCUUCUCGGCGCCUCUCGUAGGCGUUUCGAAAAUGAAUCA